ensembl:lncRNA
GGUGUUCCCGUGGUUAAGAAUUCUCCUUGCAAUGCACAGGAUGCAGGUUCAGUCCCUGGUCAGGGAAUAAGGUCUCACAUGCUACAGAGCAACUAAGCCCUUGUGCCCCAGUACUGAGCCUGUGCUCUGGAGACCAUGUGUCACAACUAGAGAGUCCGUGUACCUCUCUGAAAGCUCUCUCAUGAUGCACUGAAGAUCUCGAGUGCUGCAACCAAGACCUGAGGCAGUCAAUCUCCCACGAUCUAUGUUGUAUACUUCUUGGGUUGCUGGAUUCUUCGCUUCUGUCCCUGGAGACCACUGCAGUCACAUUCUGAGUCAUUCUGAUCUGGCCAUCAACUUACUCCACCUUUGGCCAAGCUUCAACUCCCUCCACCUGCAAGGAAGUCCUUCACAUGAACUGGUCGCUGUGUGAAUUGAUGGUCUGUUUUGAGCCUUGCUACAAUCGGCUCCAUCCCAGCCACAACAUGACCUGCUCAGAAGAAGGCAUUCAAGACAGAAAAUGACAUGUGUAAUAAAGUUUCUACCUCCACUGCCACUAUCCUAAGCUCUUUCCAUGGUUAAGAAAGCCCAGGGUUUGGGGUCUCUGCAAAUAAAUAAGAGAGGCAUAUGGGAAACAAUGCUAGAGGCUGAGGUUUGAGGGUACAGAGGACACAAGGACAGAUGGAUGGAAGGUCAGAUAAACAUGUAAGCAAAGCUGGUAUCAUGGAGGUAAGAGAGCGAGGAGAACUCAUAUACAAAAUUUUAAGGAGUGAUGGGGUUGGAGGAAGGUGGCAGUGGGGAGGAGGUGAGAGAGAGUACCUGAAAAACUUCAGCACAUGGAUGUACAUUAGUCAGCUUUAAGUUACGUGUUCUACGCUGCACCCCAUUACUUUCAAAUCCUCACACAGAAGCUUGUUUUGCUCACAGCCUUGUAUUGGUCGUGUUCUUCAGAAAGAAGUCAAAAGAUAAUAGUCCUAGAGCUCCUAAGGUAGAACUAAGGGUACCAGUUAGCAUCUAGAGAACUUCUGUGAAGCAGGAUUGACCCAGGUGUGGAAGCCAGAUAAACCUCUUUCCCUCAAAGACACCAGGUGCCAUUUGAAAAGGCAGGAAGGAUAAGUACUGAUAUCUUGCGGUGUUGAUGUCCUUUAGCCAAAAAACACCAGGAACAGAAAAGCUGUGAAACAAGCUGAGGCUAUUGCUUGUUAAACUGUGUGGCAUCCCAGGGAGAGGAUGUUCAUUACAGGAUUUGAGCUUGUGUUGGUGAUGUGUGGGGAGGUUUUAAGGAAACAGAGCUUUGCUCUGAUUGGAUGCUGUCAGAAGGAGGGGUAAUUCUCUGAUUGGGUAUCUUAACCAGACUAAAGGAGAGGCUCAAGGUGUAAUUAUAAAGAAACAGCAGUCACUUUUGUUACCAGGGAUGGGGAUGUUUCGGUGUUUUGUGGGUUGGACAAUGUUCAUGGUUUAAUCUGUGUUUAUGCAUAUGGAAUUGUCCUGUUUCUGUCUUUACCCAUCAUGGCCACAG